GACGAACGCUGGCGGCGUGCCUAAUACAUGCAAGUCGAGCGAACUUGCGGGAGCUUGCUCCCAAAAGUUAGCGGCGGACGGGUGAGUAACACGUGGGCAACCUGCCUAUAAGACUGGGAUAACUUCGGGAAACCGGAGCUAAUACCGGAUAAUUCUUUUCUACACAUGUAGAAAAGCUAAAAGACGGUUUACGCUGUCACUUAUAGAUGGGCCCGCGGCGCAUUAGCUAGUUGGUGAGGUAAUGGCUCACCAAGGCCACGAUGCGUAGCCGACCUGAGAGGGUGAUCGGCCACACUGGGACUGAGACACGGCCCAGACUCCUACGGGAGGCAGCAGUAGGGAAUCUUCCGCAAUGGACGAAAGUCUGACGGAGCAACGCCGCGUGAGUGAUGAAGGUUUUCGGAUCGUAAAACUCUGUUGUUAGGGAAGAACAAGUACGAGAGUAACUGCUCGUACCUUGACGGUA
rnacentral:rRNA from 1 species